rnacentral:rRNA from 1 species
UACAGAGGUCUCAAGCGUUGUUCGGAUUCAUUGGGCGUAAAGGGUGCGUAGGCGGCGCGGUAAGUCGGGUGUGAAAUCUCGGAGCUUAACUCCGAAACUGCAUUCGAUACUGCCGUGCUUGAGGACUGGAGAGGAGACUGGAAUUUACGGUGUAGCGGUGAAAUGCGUAGAUAUCGGGAGGAACACCAGUGGCGAAGGCGGCUUUCUGGUCUGCUCUUGACGCUGAGGCGCGAAAGCUAGGGUAGCAACCGGG